rnacentral:rRNA from 1 species
UACGUAGGGGGCUAGCGUUGUCCGGAAUCAUUGGGCGUAAAGCGCGUGUAGGCGGUCCGAUAAGUCCGCUGUGAAAGUCGGGGGCUCAACCCUCGGAUGCCGGUGGAUACUGUCGGGCUUGAGUACGGAAGAGGCGAGUGGAAUUCCUGGUGUAGCGGUGAAAUGCGCAGAUAUCAGGAGGAACACCAAUUGCGAAGGCAGCUCGCUGGGACGUUACUGACGCUGAGACGCGAAAGCGUGGGGAGCAAACAGG